AGGACGAACGCUGGCGGCGUGCUUAACACAUGCAAGUCGAGCGCCCCGCAAGGGGAGCGGCAGACGGGUGAGUAACGCGUGGGAACAUACCCUCCGGUUCGGAAUAGCUCAGGGAAACUUGGAUUAAUACCGGAUACGGCCUAGCGGCGAAAGAUUGAUCGCCGGAGGAUUGGCCCGCGUCUGAUUAGCUAGUUGGUGGGGUAAUGGCCCACCAAGGCGACGAUCAGUAGCUGGUCUGAGAGGAUGAUCAGCCACAUUGGGACUGAGACACGGCCCAAACUCCUACGGGAGGCAGCAGUGGGGAAUAUUGGACAAUGGGCGCAAGCCUGAUCCAGCCAUGCCGCGUGAGUGAUGACGGCCUUAGGGUUGUAAAGCUCUUUCGCUAGGGACGAUAAUGACGGUACCUAGACAAGAAGCCCGGCUAACUUCGUGCCAGCAGCCGC
rnacentral:rRNA from 1 species